rnacentral:rRNA from 1 species
GUGUGCUCACCCAAGUGGGCAGGUGGACUCGGCAACCCAAACCUAAGACGACUUAAUAUUCCGAUGCAAUCUCGAUGGCCGUGGUUGCAAAGAUCGGACGCGUCGAGACCAUGGGUAGAAUUCAACAUCAAUGUCCUAGAGGAAUCCAUGCAACUGUAUUGAGCGGCAGCAAAAUCGACUGUACAUGACGGGAGGUCGACCAUGUUUUGGGAGGAUCAAUGGCUACAUGGGCUGAGAGUGCAGGAGAUAGCGCCAAACUUAUAUAACGUGGUGGCCAAGCAUGCAAGAUCCACGCGCACAGUCCAGCAGGCCCUGGAGGAGGGCACUUGGGCAGCUGACAUCGGCCCAAAACUCUCGGCGGAUCUGUUACAGGAGUACUUUGAAGUUGAACUAUGGGCAUGA